rnacentral:rRNA from 2 species
CUUCGGUUAUAAGAUCCCUCGAAGAUGACGAGGUUAAUAGGUUCGAGGUGGAAGCGUGGUGACACGUGGAGCUGACGAAUACUAAUCGAUCGAAGACUUAAUCAA